CAGUGAGGAGCGGGCAGGGGCAGGGCUGAGGUGCUGUGGCGGGGAUAGCUGGUACUGGAGCGGGUCCAGAGAAAGGUAACGGAGCCGGUGCAGGGCCUGGAGCACAAGUGUAGGCUGAAGUCCCGCUCCCUAUAAAACUGAAGCAGAAAUGGACAUAGACAAAUAGCAUCCCAUCGUGACUACCGCCAUUUGGGUGCAGCUUGGUCUGUUGAAAAAAUAUGUUCAGUAUAUCAUGAAAAUUAAUGGUGCACGCAAUGGUAAGGACUCCAUGUGCUCAUCCAGACUUGGAGCAGCAAAACCCUGUGAUAAGACGCAGAGGUGCCAUCCAAAAGAGCUUUUCCAGUGACCAUUAUAUCACCUUCCCAAAUUACACAAGCUGGAAUAGUGAGGAUAGGCUUCUGUAAGACUUGCUGUAGCUCAGCCAGAUUCACAGCACAGAUAGGCUGGCUGGAGAGCCGAUUAUUUUUAACACUGCUAGUGAAGUUAUUCUAGUAGACAUCUAAAGCCAUAAUGAAACCUUACUGACAUUCAUACUCACUGCUUUCAAGUAAAACUCAUCUUUACAGAACCCCAACCUCUACAUAAAGCUGUAUUUUUACUGCAGAUAAACAUAUAAGUAUUAAAGAGUAGGAAUGUAUGAAGUUCUAAGAGGGACACUGAAUCCUUUUCUCCCAAGAGCAGAAUCUCGAGCUGCUAAGAGAUAAUUCAGGUCAAAACCGACUGAAUCAGCUUUUCUUCAUCUGCGGCAUGUGGAUAAGAAAGUCCUGUAUAGAUUCUGCAAUCCUCAAGCUCUUGAUGCUCAUUAAGUACUGUACCGGUAAUUAGAAUUCUUAUGACUCUCAAAGGGCUAAACCAGAAGAUUAAAAGAACUUUCUUUUCCUGUGAGAGGAUA